UAAUACUAUAUUAUAACCCUAGAACUAGCACAAACUCCCCUAGUUCUAAGGUUAUUUGGAUCAUGUAAUCCCCUAAGUAAAUGAUGAAUUGAGAUUAGCUAUAUUAUAACUAUAAUUUCUCAUAUGUGAUGCAUAUUAUAUAUAUUCAUAUAGUUACAGGGCUUGCAAGUUCUUUUCUCAAAUAUGAAGUAUCAAAAAAUUGAAAAUAUAUAUAUUAAUUGCAAAAAAUAUACAUUAAACAUUCAUAAAUAAGCAUUUUAAAUCAAUAAUAAAUUCCACUUGAGUUUGCAGUAGAAACUCCAUCAAGACUGAAAGCCUUUUCAUGAACCCUGCCCUGAAUAUUUAAUUACAACUUGAGAAAAAGAGUGAUGAAGCUAUAAACUAUUUGGAUAUCUUGAUUAUAAUUAGGGAAGGAGAAUAACAUCUACCUUCAAAGUCCAACAAAGAAGUGAUCAGAAACAUUUGCCACUUGCUGUCAUAAAUCAUACUUUAGUUUCUAGGGAAAAUCCUACAUAUAAAAAAGGUGGGUUGGGGAAAAAGGGAAAACCAAUUGACUCUCUGCAGACAGGGAUACUGGUUGAACUGAUAUUAAGUAAAACAAAGGAGGAGAUUCUAUUACCAGAAGUCAAAUUAUGCAGAUGUUAUAUAGAACAUGUUAUACAUGUUCAUCUCAUAUGAAAGUACAAUAGAAGACAGCAUAAUUGAAAAUCUUUUCACAAACUCUGUCCUGGAUAUUAAAUUACAGUUUGAGAGAAAGAGUGAUGAAGCUAUGAACUGUUUGGAUGUAAUGAGUAUGAUUAGGGGAGGAGAAUAUUACAUGGAGAUGUACAGAAAAGGAACAUACAUACCAUUUCUGAUCCCCACUUGGUCAUCAGAACCAUAGCCUUAUAAAAUUUCCUUGUUCAGAUCUCAUUUAAAAAGCCAAAAUAUUCCAAGCCAAAAUAAAGGAAUUAAAUUGGAUUAUGAGUGAAGUGGCUUGACAUGGAUACAAACAUGGAUAUAAUGAGAAUAAUUAGGAGGCUGUACAUAAAAAUGUGCAAAAAUGAUGGGAAACAAGCAUAGAGCAAAACCUGAUAUAGAUAGAUGGAUGUAUCAAUUUUUAGCAUCUAAGAAUUAGAUGCCAAAAAUUGAGGAAAAAACUAGAUGUAAUAUUGUGUUUUCCACAGGGAACACAGUUUUCAACAGAAUUAGGAACACUAAAAAUCAACACCCUCCAGAAAGGAAAACAGGAUUUUAUAGAAUUGAUCUAUUCAAUUAUAGCACAAUUUAGGAGUGACACAUCUAAUAUACAUCAAGAAAUUUAGUGACUAGAAUUAAUGAACAUUUACAAGAUGUUAAUAGUGAAACUGUGUUGAUUGUUGUAUCAAGGAAGGUAUACCAAUUUAAGGUGACUUCCUAUGGGAUGAAGCAAAGAUUAUUAAACUAAUAAGAAACAUGAGACAAAGAUUAAUAGCUGAGAUGCUCACUUUCUUCUUAGAGAAACAGGAGGAAGGCAUAGUCUUGAAUGAGAAUGAUCCACAUAGAUUAAACUGUGCUUAAAGAUGAUGCUACUUUAAUAAUGGCUGAAUUGAGCAUGUUCUGUGUCAGUUAUAGGCAUCAAAUCUCCAAUUCCAACCCACUGUAGCUUUUAUUUGUGUGUGUCAUUUUGGCUACACACUAAUUACUGAUAUCAUUAUUUUUAAAAAUUAAAAAUUUUAUUUACUUUUUAGUUGUGAUAUAGUUUUAUAAAACAGAAACUUGGUAAAAAUGUAAGAUGUAAUGGAG
rnacentral:lncRNA from 1 species